rnacentral:rRNA from 1 species
GACGAACGCUGGCGGCGUGCUUAACACAUGCAAGUCGAACGGAAAGGCCCUGCUUUUGUGGGGUGCUCGAGUGGCGAACGGGUGAGUAACACGUGAGUAACCUGCCCUUGACUUUGGGAUAACUUCAGGAAACUGGGGCUAAUACCGGAUAGGAGCUCCUGCUGCAUGGUGGGGGUUGGAGAGUUUCGGCGGUUGGGGAUGGACUCGCGGCUUAUCAGCUUGUUGGUGGGGUAGUGGCUUACCAAGGCUUUGACGGGUAGCCGGCCUGAGAGGGUGACCGGCCACAUUGGGACUGAGAUACGGCCCAGACUCCUACGGGAGGCAGCAGUGGGGAAUAUUGCACAAUGGGCGGAAGCCUGAUGCAGCAACGCCGCGUGCGGGAUGACGGCCUUCGGGUUGUAAACCGCUUUCGCCUGUGACGAAGCGUGGGUGACGGUAAUGGGUAAAGAAGCACCGGCUAACUACGUG